rnacentral:rRNA from 1 species
GACGACCGCUGUCGGCGUGCUUAACACAUUCAAGUCGAACGUAGUGGCUCACGGUUGCGUAACACGUGGGUGCUCUACCUUCAACUUCUGGAUAAGAUUUGGAAACUGGGUCUACUACCGGAUCGUGCAAGAUUAGCUCUCGGCCUAUCAGCUUUGUGGUGGGGUAAUGGCCUAACAAGGCGUCGACGGGUAUCCGGCCUGAGAGGGUGUACGGCUACAGUGGGACGGGGAUACUGCCCAGACUGCUACGGGAGGCAGCAGUGGGGAAGAUUGCACAAUGGGAGGAAGAAGGAGGUAGCGAAGCGGCGUGGGGGAUGAAGGUCCUCUGGUUGUAAACUCCUGUCGACAGGGAAGCGGUAAUUGUAUAAGAAGCACCGGCUAACUACGUGCCAGCAGCCGCGGUAAUUC